AUCUUGGAGAAAUUGAUCACUUCGCCCUCUGGAGUGUGCUCCUCACCCUGUCAGCACCCCCAGGCCUACCCCGGGCCACAACGGCUGGGAAGUAGGCCCCGUUACCACCGACAUCCUCCCAGGAGCAGAACUCUCCAGGCUGACGGGGGCCUGAAAAGGCCAUCAUUGCCAGCUCUCUGUGGUUCGUAAGUCACUUCCCCAGCAGUCAUCUUGCUUUGGUUUUGGGCCUCAGGACAGCUCCUUGAGGUGCCCAUUUUACAGACGAGGGCCCUGAGGCUCAGAACAGUGAGGAGUCACUCCUGGGCCUGGUCUUCCUGCCCUGUGGAUGGCUUCCCAGGAAAUGGGGAGAGGGUGGUUUGUAAUGCUCAUCCUAAGUGACAUUUCUAAAAGAAUUCCUGGAUUUGAGUCCCAUUGACCCGGCUAUGCAGGGCCUUCAUGCUCCUCAAAUUUCUGAACUUUGAGAUCAGGCAGAAGCUGAUGAUGGUGGGGACACCUUCCUGUCGAGGGCCCCAUGCCCCUCACAUUGGCUUUCCCUCUGUCAGGCCGGCCAGGUGGGGGGUGAGGGAAGUUGGACCAGGGGCCUUCAACCCUCCCACCUUUGUGAUGCUUCCCUAAAAGAUCCGGAAUUUCUCUCAUAACCACAGGCCACCCUGCAAUGACAGGCGGGGCUGCAGCAGCCCCAGAGCCUGGCCCAGUGCGUUUAUUUCUGGUGGUUGUAUUGACUCACCGUUUCUUAUGGAAUCACAUCUUCCUAUUCCACUAUUUUUCACUUUAAGUAAAAAUUAAUUCAGUUUUGUUUGAGCAAAAACAAAGAAUGAGGGAAAAGGAAACAGAGAAGGGAGAACAGCAAGGAGAGUGAAAGGAACAGGGCUUGGACUGGACGGAACCAGGACGCAGUCCCAUCACCGGUUGCAGCCACCUGACAGAGCCUCGGGUGCACAAAGGAAACGCCUGCCUCCUCCGAUCGUGACUCCCUCGGCUCGGGAGAGGUGGUCUGGCGCGGUGGACACCAGCCCCAAAGUGUCAGUGCCAGCCCUACCCUGCCGGAGGAAUUUCUCCCUGCCCGCCACCCCCGUCCGCCAGGUGUGGCUCCGUUUUGCCGCUGGCCAGAGCCUGACCCCUCGUCCCUGCUCUUCCACAAGGCCGGCCGGGGUGGGGGGUGGUCUGAGGUCCAGAUGGAGCCGCCUCGGGGAGGAGGGCCACCUCCCUGCUGAGCUGACCUGCCCCUCCAGCAGAGGGCUGCUCAGCAGAGCCCCUACGCCUUUCCGGAGCAGAGGGAGCCCCCCAGUGCUCCCAUCCCGGGCAGAGGGAAAGGGUUCUCGUUUCAGCGACGCCCCCCAGGAAAGGGGACUCGGUGCUGAGAUUCCAGGGGAGGCUCUGGGCGCCUCCAGGGGCCGCUCCAGGCAGCCUUGUCUCUGUGCUCGGCUGUUUCCAGCCCCUGGGCCCAUCCAGAGUCCAACCCUGGGAGGAGGGAGCACUCACUGAGACAGCAGCCCAUCCCACUCAACGCUUCAUUCCUGAGGCCUGGGCUCCAGCGACUCAGAGAACCAGAGAGCAGCAGGGAGGAGGGCACCUUGGCUGAUGUGAUGCCCGUGGAGCCCACCUUCCCUCUUACUGUAUGCUGGGCUGUGUGUCACCUGCUGGAAGUCACCUCCUCUAAGAAGGCCGCCUUGACUCCCGUGAUCCUUGGAGGGAAGCAAACACAGCUGAGUCCACUGGAUCCCCUAUGCUCGGUUCAAGCCCAGACCAGACACGGGAAUAAGAGGUGAAUGAGCAAAUCGCUGCUGUGUUCCCUCUUGACGGCGGGCAGCGCAGCCUUGGUGGCAUUGCUACUGCCACACGCUUACACACUGUGUGCCUCUAUGCAUAUCUUCUUCCUAUGUAAAUGGGAUUAUAUCCUGUGUCUCAUUGGCCACUUGCUUUCUUAUUUAAAUCACUGCAAGGGCUUCCUGGCCCAUCUCUUGCCUUCAGCCCGGGUCCAGCAAACCAGUCUCCAUGCGGCAGGCAGAGUGAACUUUCUAAGCUGACCACUUCAUGCUCCUGGUCCCACAGGGGCUCGGCUCUGUUCUCUCCACACCAUUCUCUUUUAGCACCUGCUACCCCUUCUCUUCAUUCCUCUGGGGAGCUCCGGCUCAUCCUCCAGAGAUCAGCUCCAGUGCCACCUCCCCUGUGAAGCCUCCUGGGGUUCCUCCAGGACCUGAUGUCAGGCAGAAGUGUCAGGGCAAUGGCUAUGAAGCAAGCAGCUGAGGUGCCCUGGGAGGCCCAAGCCUCCUGGCCUGGAUGGAGAUGCCACCUUCAUCCUACAUGAGGUUCGGGAAGAACUAUUAAGAUUCCGGGCAGCCUCUACCCUGCUGUGGAGACGCUGCGGAGCCUGCCGUGUCAUUUAGCCAGAAAAGAGAACAGAGAGCCUGAUUCAUAGGCCCAAACACUUGUAGGGCAUUUAGCAUCUGACAAGAGUGGAUAUUUAUGGAAGACUUCCUGUGGG
rnacentral:lncRNA from 1 species